GAUGACGACUAGCUACAGGCUUAACACAUGCAAGUCGAGGGGCAGCAUGGUCUUAGCUUGCUAAGGCCGAUGGCGACCGGCGCACGGGUGAGUAACGCGUAUCCAACCUGCCUUACACUCUAGAAGACAUCUGAAGGAGAUUAAAAGAUUUAUCGGUGAUGGAUGGGGAUGCGUCUGAUUAGCUUGUUGGCGGGGUAACGGCCCACCAAGGCGACGAUCAGUAGGGGUUCUGAGAGGAAGGUCCCCCACAUUGGAACUGAGACACGGUCCAAACUCCUACGGGAGGCAGCAGUGAGGAAUAUUGGUCAAUGGACGAGAGUCUGAACCAGCCAAGUAGCGUGAAGGAUGAAGGUCCUACGGAUUGUAAACUUCUUUAUAAGGGAAUAAAACCUCCCACGUGUGGGAGCUUGUAUGUACCUUAUGAAUAAGCAUCGGCUAACUCCGUG
rnacentral:rRNA from 1 species